UCCGGUUGAUCCCGCCGGACCCCACUGCUAUCGGGAUAGGACUAAGACAUGCUAGUUGAGCGCUUCCAGCCAACACGGGAGCGCAGCGCACAGCUCAGUAACACGUGGCUAAUCUGCCCUUGGGACCGGAAUACCCCCGGGAAACUGGGGCUAAUUCUCGAUAGGUGAAGAACUCUGGAAUGAGUCUUUGCCAAAAAGACGUUUACGUUAUGCUCGUAGGCGUUGCCCAAGGAUGAGGCCGCGACCGAUCAGGUUGUUGGUGAGGUAAUGGCUCACCAAGCCUUUUACCGGUGCGGGCCGUGAGAGCGGGAGCCCGGAGAUGGGCACUGAGACAAGGGCCCAGGCCCUACGGGGCGCAGCAGUCGCGAAAACUUUGCAAUACACGAAAGUGUGACAGGGCUAUCCCGAGUGCCAUCCGCUGAGGAAGGCUUUUACCCAGUCUAGAACGCUGGGGGAGUAAGGAGAGGGCAAGUCUGGUGUCAGCCGCCGCGGUAAUACCAGCUCUCCGAGUGGUGUGGAUGUUUAUUGGGCCUAAAGCAUCCGUAGCUGGCUGAGUUAGUCCCUUGUUAAAUCCACCGAAUUAAUCGUUGGAUUGCGGGGGAUACUGCUCGGCUAGGGGACGAGAGAGGCAGACGGUAUUUCUGGGGUAGGGGUGAAAUCCUAUAAUCCCAGGAGGACCACCAGUGGCGAAGGCUGUCUGCUAGAACGCGCCCGACGGUGAGGGAUGAAAGCUGGGGGAGCGAACCGGAUUAGAUACCCGGGUAGUCCCAGCUGUAAACGAUGCAGACUAGGUGUUUGGACGGCCACGCGCCGUUCUAGUGCCGCAGGGAAGCUGUUAAGUCUGCCGCCUGGGGAGUACGAUCGCAAGAUUGAAACUUAAAGGAAU
rnacentral:rRNA from 1 species